AUCCUUCUCGGUUCUUACAAGUGAUGAGUGGGUUGUCACGCUUUUUGCGUGAUAUGUGCGUCCCUUAUUAGUUACGACAUUGCACAUUACCCAUCUGAUC